rnacentral:lncRNA from 1 species
UCUCAUUCUCUUUCAUCUGUUUUAAUUAAUUUUUAUUUGUUUAAUGGGAGAAACCGGUUGAGUUAUCUUCAAUGAGGGUGUUCUAAGUGGAGGUCAGGUGGGGAGAGUAACGCAACGGGAAUAAUAGGAGUGUGCAUGACAUAAUUGCACCUUUGAUGAAGAACCCAUCAAAAUAAAAUAGGGAAGAAUGAUUAAUAUUGGUCUCUGACUGUGACAAGUUUUUGGGGGUGGUUUGGUCGGUUUUGUAUACGUAAGUUCGUGCCACGUGCCCUUUUAUCCAUGGAAUGGACGGCUUGGAAUCAUGGACUUGAGAAUAUUCUCAUAUCAAAUCCAAACAAAUUACAACCUUCUCGAAUUUAUCUAAUCGUUAAAGUUUAGAAAAUGGCUUCUUCAUCAAAGUAGCAAAAACAUAAUAAACAAUUGCGAAUCCAUUGGAAUAUAGUAGAUAAUAUUUAAUUAAACACGUUGAAUAAUAUAUAUGAAGGAUCGAUCAUUAUAUUUUUUCUUCUUUUUCGGAAUACAUAUAUGGAAAACAUAAUGGCGUAGACUGUAGAAUGGGUUGAAUAUGUACUACGAAUUCUCCAGAAUUUGUGUGGAUGACAAAAAAUGUUGCAAACCUGAUAUUCCAUACGAUCUAAAGUUUAUCUAACCAAAAAUCAAAGUCACACGAAUAAAAGCAAGAUGGUGUACACAGUACACCUCACUCAUGCUUUUAAUUUCUAUAAACAGGAGAUAUAUGGCACCUCAUGCUUGGUAAUCCUCUCUCAUUUUUCCUGUCUUCAUGUCGAGCCUAACUUUCAU